rnacentral:rRNA from 1 species
ACGCAAGUGUGAAACUUGAAGGAAUUGACGGAAGGGCACCACAAGAACGCGUGGAGCAUGUGGCUUAAUUUGACAACGCGGGAAAUCUUACCGGGUCCGGACACACUGAGGAUUGACAGGCAAUAUUAGCAAUUCUAUGUCUUUCGGGAUAUUAGUAGUUGUUAUGUUAAAUAUGCUAGUCCUUUCAUGAUUAUGUGAUAGGUGGUGCAUGGCCGUUCUUAGUUCGUGGAGUGAUCUGUCUGCUUAAUUGCGUUUCACUAAGGGCCUAUAAUUUAACGUGUGUUGCGGCACUUUGACCCCUCUUUUUUAAAGAGCGCGUGUCUUAGCUUGUUUAGCUCACACAAUUAGGUCCUGAAAGCAACGAACGUGACCG